CCUUGAAAUACCACCCUUUAAUGUUUGAUGUUCUAACGUGGACCCGUGAUCCGGGUUGCGGACAGUGUCUGGUGGGUAGUUUGACUGGGGCGGUCUCCUCCUAAAGAGUAACGGAGGAGCACGAAGGUUGGCUAAUCCUGGUCGGACAUCAGGAGGUUAGUGCAAUGGCAUAAGCCAGCUUGACUGCGAGCGUGACGGCGCGAGCAGGUGCGAAAGCAGGUCAUAGUGAUCCGGUGGUUCUGAAUGGAAGGGCCAUCGCUCAACGGAUAAAAGGUACUCCGGGGAUAACAGGCUGAUACCGCCCAAGAGUUCAUAUCGACGGCGGUGUUUGGCACCUCGAUGUCGGCUCAUCACAUCCUGGGGCUGAAGUAGGUCCCAAGGGUAUGGCUGUUCGCCAUUUAAAGUGGUACGCGAGCUGGGUUUAGAACGUCGUGAGACAGUUCGGUCCCUAUCUGCCGUGGGCGCUGGAGAACUGAGGGGGGCUGCUCCUAGUACGAGAGGACCGGAGUGGACGCAUCACUGGUGUUCGGGUUGUCAUGCCAAUGGCACUGCCCGGUAGCUAAAUGCGGAAGAGAUAAGUGCUGAAAGCAUCUAAGCACGAAACUUGCCCCGAGAUGAGUUCUCCCUGAGACUUA
rnacentral:rRNA from 3 species